GGGGCUGUAGUGUAGCUUGGCUAUCACUCAGGGCUGGGGGUCCUGUAACCGGGGUUCGAAUCCUCGCAGCCCCA
rnacentral:tRNA from 1 species